rnacentral:misc_RNA from 1 species
UUAUUAAAAUUUUAUUCUAAUUUUAUAAAUUAAAAU